AGCGAACGCUGGCGGCAGGCCUAACACAUGCAAGUCGAACGAACUCUUCGGAUUUAGUGGCGGACGGGUGAGUAACACGAGGGAACGUGCCUCUUGGUUCGGAAUAACUCAUGGAAACUUGUGCUAAUACCGCAUGUGCCCUUCGGGGGAAAGAUUUAUCGCCAUUAGAGCGGCCUGCGUCUGAUUAGCUAGUUGGUGAGGUAACGGCUCACCAAGGCGACGAUCAGUAGCUGGUCUGAGAGGAUGACCAGCCACACUGGGACUGAGACACGGCCCAGACUCCUACGGGAGGCAGCAGUGGGGAAUCUUGCGCAAUGGGCGAAAGCCUGACGCAGCCAUGCCGCGUGAAUGAUGAAGGUCUUAGGAUUGUAAAAUUCUUUCACCGGGGACGAUAAUGACGGUACCCUGAGAAGAAGCCCCGGCUAACUUCGUG
rnacentral:rRNA from 1 species